rnacentral:lncRNA from 1 species
UUAAAACAAAAGAAAUAAAUAUUUAACAAGAAUUUCAGUGAUACCUUUGUGGAAGUCUUCGAUUUCUCCGGUAGUGAUUCGAAGAGACAAUUCACAAUAAAAAGUACGAAAUCUAAAUGUAUAUCGCUCUUUAAUCGGUUAUGAAUUAAUCCUGAGCCGCAUUGAAUAACCCAAUAAUUCCAUCUAUCAUCCACCAAUCCGAACCAGUCUCUUGGCCAUCGGAGAAGAUUGAGAGUCGGGGCGAAACGAUGUACACUUACAAUACUUCCCAGCAAUUCCAAAUUUCUUGGUUCUCUUGGCCGUCAGAAAAGGUUGCGGGGCU